rnacentral:misc_RNA from 1 species
UUAAGUUCAGCGGGUAUUCCUACCUGAUCCGAGGUCAACCUUGUGUUAAAAGAUGGGUCCUUUAACGGCCGGAGCGCGCCGCGACUCCCUAGCGAGAAUAGGAUUCUACUACGCUCGGAGUCGCCGCGAGCCCGCCACUCCAUUUUGGGGCCUGCGGCAGCCGCAGGGCCCCAACACCAAGCAAGGGCUUGAGGGUUGAA